rnacentral:rRNA from 1 species
GACGUAGGGCGCAAGCGUUAUCCGGAAUUAUUGGGCGUAAAGAGCUCGUAGGCGGUUUGUCGCGUCUGCCGUGAAAGUCCGGGGCUCAACUCCGGAUCUGCGGUGGGUACGGGCAGACUAGAGUGCAGUAGGGGAGACUGGAAUUCCUGGUGUAGCGGUGAAAUGCGCAGAUAUCAGGAGGAACACCGAUGGCGAAGGCAGGUCUCUGGGCUGUAACUGACGCUGAGGAGCGAAAGCAUGGGGAGCGAACAGG